rnacentral:rRNA from 1 species
GGGGGGAGCAAGCGUUGUUCGGAUUUACUGGGCGUAAAGGGCGCGUAGGCGGCGCAACAAGUCACUUGUGAAAUCUCCGGGCUUAACCCGGAGCGGCCAAGUGAUACUGUCGUGCUAGAGUGCGGAAGGGGCUACUGGAAUUCUCGGUGUAGCGGUGAAAUGCGUAGAUAUCGAGAGGAACACCUGCGGCGAAGGCGGGUAGCUGGGCCGACACUGACGCUGAGGCGCGAAAGCCAGGGGAGCGAACGGGAUUAGAUACCCCGGUAGUCCUGGCCUUAAACGAUGGAUACUUGGUGUCCGGGGUUACAUAGUCCCCGGGUGCCGGCGCUAACGCAUUAAGUAUCCCGCCUGGGGAGUACGGUCGCAAGACUG